rnacentral:rRNA from 1 species
CCUACGGGUGGCAGCAGUGAGGAAUAUUGGUCAAUGGACGAGAGUCUGAACCAGCCAAGUAGCGUGAAGGAUGACUGCCCUAUGGGUUGUAAACUUCUUUUAUAAAGGAAUAAAAUGAGGCACGUGUGCCUUUUUGCAUGUACUUGAUGAAUAAGGAUCGGCUAACUCCGUGCCAGCAGCCGCGGUAAUACGGAGGAUCCGAGCGUUAUCCGGAUUUAUUGGGGUUAAAGGGAGCGUAGACGGAAGUGUAAGUCUGAAGUGAAAGCCCGUGGCUCAACCGCGGAACAGCCUUGGAAACUGGAUGGCUUGAGAUCUGGAGAGGCAGGCGGAAUUCCUAGUGUAGCGGUGAAAUGCGUAGAUAUUAGGAGGAACACCAGUGGCGAAGGCAGCCUGCCGGA